AGCAGCCGCGGUAAUUCCAGCUCCAAUAGCGUAUAUUAAAGUUGUUGCAGUUAAAAAGCUCGUAGUUGAAUUUCGGGAUCAAUAUGUCGGUCGUGCCUUCGGUACGUACUGGUAUCAUUGGUCUCUCCUUUCUGACGAACCAUGAUGUCAUUAAUUUGGUGUUAUGGGGAGUUAAGACUGUUACUUUGAAAAAAUUAGAGUGUUUAAAGCAGGCUUUAGCUUGAAUACAUUAGCAUGGAAUAAUGAAAUAGGACGUUCGAACCUAUUUUGUUGGUUUCUAGGAUCAACGUAAUGAUUAAUAGGGAUAGUUGGGGGCAUUAGUAUUCAAUUGUCAGAGGUGAAAUUCUUGGAUUUAUUGAAGACUAACUACUGCGAAAGCAUUUGCCAAGGAUGUUUUCAUUAAUCAAGAACGAAAGUUAGGGAUCGAAGACGAUCAGAUACCGUCGUAGUCUUAACCAUAAACUAUAGCCGACUAGGGAUCGGAUGAUGUUAGUUUUUUAAUGUACUUCAUUCGGCGCCU
rnacentral:rRNA from 1 species